rnacentral:tRNA from 1 species
ACCUGCCUGGCUCAGUCAGUAGAGCAUGCGACUCUUGAUCUCAGGGUUGUGAGUUCAAGUCCCACGUUGGGAG